AAAUUGAAGAGUUUGAUCAUGGCUCAGAUUGAACGCUGGCGGCAGGCCUAACACAUGCAAGUCGAGCGGAAACGAGUUAUCUGAACCUUCGGGGAACGAUAACGGCGUCGAGCGGCGGACGGGUGAGUAAUGCCUAGGAAAUUGCCCUGAUGUGGGGGAUAACCAUUGGAAACGAUGGCUAAUACCGCAUAAUGCCUACGGGCCAAAGAGGGGGACCUUCGGGCCUCUCGCGUCAGGAUAUGCCUAAGUGGGAUUAGCUAGUUGGUGAGGUAAUGGCUCACCAAGGCGACGAUCCCUAGCUGGUCUGAGAGGAUGAUCAGCACACUGGAACUGAGACACGGUCCAGACUCCUACGGGAGGCAGCAGUGGGGAAUAUUGCACAAUGGGCGCAAGCCUGAUGCAGCCAUGCCGCGUGUGUGAAGAAGGCCUCGGGUUGUAAAGCACUUUCAGUCGUGAGGAAGGUAGUGUAGUUAAUAGCUGCAUUAUUUGACGUUAGCGACAGAAGAAGCACCGGCUAACUCCGUGCCAGCAGCCGCGGUAAUACGGAGGGUGCGAGCGUUAAUCGGAAUUACUGGGCGUAAAGCGCAUGCAGGUGGUUUGUUAAGUCAGAUGUGAAAGCCCGGGGCUCAACCUCGGAAUUGCAUUUGAAACUGGCAGACUAGAGUACUGUAGGAGGGGGGGGUAUGAAGUUUCAGGUGUAGCGGUGAAAUGCGUAGAGAUCUGAAGGAAUACCGGUGGCGAAGGCGGCCCCCUGGACAGAUACUGACACUCAGAUGCGAAAGCGUGGGGAGCAAACAGGAUUAGAUACCCUGGUAGUCCACGCCGUAAACGAUGUCUACUUGGAGGUUGUGGCCUUGAGCCGUGGCUUUCGGAGCUAACGCGUUAAGUAGACCGCCUGGGGAGUACGGUCGCAAGAUAAACUCAAAUGGAUUGAUCGGGGGCCCGCACAAGCGGUGGAGCAUGUGGUUUAAUUCGAUGC
rnacentral:rRNA from 1 species